ensembl:snRNA U6 U6 spliceosomal RNA
AUGCUUGCUUCAGUAGCGCAUAUACUAAAGUUGUAACAACAGAGAGAUUUGCAUGACCUCUGUUCAAGAAUGACAUGCAAAUUUGUGAAGCGUUCCAUAUGUUU